ensembl:lncRNA LINC01013 long intergenic non-protein coding RNA 1013
GGGGUGAAGGGAAAUGCCACAGACAUCCAUGGUCUUGGAUGCUCAACAGAAGUGCUUGCCUUGGUGAUCCAAAAAAGGCAGGAUCCGGCCGGGGGCAAGGUGAUUAUUCUGUCUGAUGAGGAGAAUAAGAGCCAGUUUGUGGUAUUGACAGAAGAAUGAAAGUAAAGUCUUGAAAGAUGGGAAGAUCAGGAGCAGUCUGGAGUCAUGGUAUAUGAAUGAACUAGUGAGAGUGGGCACAAAGUCUGAAGAUCUUUGUAGUGCAGCUAAUGUCUAAGGGAGAAUAUACCUACCCUAGAAGAGACAUUAAACAACCAGGUUGUCUCUUCAUUCUGUUGAUUGUUUCCUUUGUUGUAAAAGAAACUCACUUUACAGGAAAAGAGGUGCAACAGUGGCUGGAUGAUUAUAAGAUCGACUGUUCCUAUUAAAAACUACACCAUCCAAAAGAGGCUGCCAUUGAAGAGCAAUAAAGUAGUUCAUAGAAGGCAUAGGCCCCCAAAAGAUGAACUCCAAUCUGCUGCCCCUAAACGCAUUCUCCACUGUCUGGAAGAUGUGCAAAGGCAACGGCACAGCGUUCUCCAUCUCAAAUCCUUCAAAGUGCUGUCAGAAUAAAAGAAUCCCCACCAAAA